GAUGCAACCAUGCAACAUGCUGUAAGCCGAUUGGUUGGGGUGGAGUUACUUAACCAAAUAAUAACAUUAUGCUAGUUUGCUAGUUAACAACUAGUUGGCAGCACAGUAUAUUAUCCGAGUGAAAUCAAGGAUGUUAUUAGUCAACUAAAGUGUUUUGUUGUGCAACGUUUAUACGUAACAACAGAUGUCCACUAGAUGUCAGAAAAAGCAAAGUGUGUUUUUGAAAAACUCUACCCUUGAAAAUAAAAGCAGCUGGUGGAAGGGCAAACCUGUGUGUCUGAGCAAGUGUAGCUUCUGUCUUCAUCAGCGGGUCACCAGCUCAUGAAGACGGAUGUUACACCGUUGAAACAUGUCUCAUAAAGGGGGGGAAAAUGUACAUGUCUUAAACCAGGUGUCACCAACGUUGUGCCCGC